GCAAUAGAAAGCACGGAAAAGGAAAGAAAGAGGCAAAGAAGAGAGAAAUUGUACAUAGUUGCUUUUUGGCUAUUUAGCUUGGUAAGAUGGGAUUUUAAUAAAGCUCUUUCAGCUAAGCAAGGUUGGCGGUUGCUUACUAUCCAAAUUCAAAUUUUCUAAAGCUAGCUUGAGGAGUAAACCAUUGACAUUGUUUAGAGGAGUAUUUGGAGUGCAAAGUAUUUUUUGGAGGCUGCGCUGCACUGGCAUAUUGGGAAUGGAAGGUCUAUGAAGAUUUGGAAAGAUAUAUGGAUUCCAAGGCCUUACUCUUACAAACCUAUUUCUGUUACAAAAUUCUUGCAUGCUGAUGCUAAGUUGGCAUAUCAUUUGGAGAUGGUUUUGUGAAGCAGAAAAACACAAGUCAGGUCAGAUGCUGGGAGUUUUGAAAGGGCAUUUUCAAAAAAGAUUUGGUUGCUGAAAUUUCUGCAUAAAGUGAAAAUCUUUGCAUGGAAAACAUGUUCGAAUAUCCUUCAUGUUCAAUCAAAGUUGAGGAGGUGCAAAUUAAUUCAAUUCAAUGACUGUUAUUUCCCUUUUGCUGCAGAAGUUUGGUCAUUAAGCCCUCUUUACUCUGUUCUAACCAUGCGCUGCUUAAAAUUUUCUAUUCUUGAUCUAGGAGUUUAGCCAAAAGAUGGAUGUAUCACCUUUGAGAUUAUUCUUUUUUUAUUUGCUGGAGUAUUUGGAACAAUCACAA